rnacentral:rRNA from 1 species
UUGGGAGCUCUCCCAUAUGGUCGACCUGCAGGCGGCCGCGAAUUCACUAGUGAUUCGUAUUACCGCGGCUGCUGGCACGAAGUUAGCCGGGGCUUAUUCUUGCGGUACCGUCAUUAUCUUCCCGCACAAAAGAGCUUUACAACCCUAGGGCCUUCAUCACUCACGCGGCAUGGCUGGAUCAGGGUUGCCCCCAUUGUCCAAUAUUCCCCACUGCUGCCUCCCGUAGGAGUUUGGGCCGUGUCUCAGUCCCAAUGUGGCUGAUCAUCCUCUCAGACCAGCUACUGAUCGUCGCCUUGGUGAGCCAUUACCUCACCAACUAGCUAAUCAGACGCGGGCCGAUCUUUCGGCGAUAAAUCUUUCCCCGUAAGGGCUUAUCCGGUAUUAGCACAAGUUUCCCUGUGUUGUUCCGAACCAAAAGGUAAAUCGAAUUCCCGCGGCCG